UUACUUGCACACCGGUACAGUUUUUGCGGGGAAGCGAAAGUUGCUGGAAUUUUGUCUUCUUCUAAAAAUAAGUCUGUCUUUGGAAGCUGUUGAAGUAACAAGAAAGAGGCUACAUUGACAUCCUGUUUUGGUAGGGAGAAGUUUGAGUAUGUACAGUUGUUUGACCUUCUUACCAUGUGACAGUCCCAGAAGAUGUUACCAUUAUGAAUAAAUGCAGGGAGUAUUAUGCUUUUGUAUGUUAAACAAAGGUCUCAAAGCAUUUAUAUGCUGUAUGACUAGAUACUUGCUUCUGAAAUAAUUGUACAACACAGCUUUAAGACUGACAUUCCUGACAAUAUGUGAAACUUCUGGACUUUAUGUCAGCCUGGCAUAUUCAUUUCCUUCCUGUAGCUUUGUGUAUCCCUCAAUUUACUAAGUACAUAUCUCCAUUAAAGAUAAUGCUAAUAGAUAUGUUUUAGUAAUAAAUGUGUGAUAGCUUUGUAAUGUAAACACUUUAGAAAUAUAAUGAAAUGUACUUUGAUAACAAACAUUGAAAUAAAAAUGUAUCAGUAUAUUGUAUCAGUCAGUAAAAAUAUGAAGUACAUUUGUAUCUUUAUAUCAAGAAAAUUGAAAUAAUUAUAUUCAAAUGCUUUGACACUGAUUUUAUAUUGGUUACCUAGAAAGGGUGUGAAUUAAUGUUUUACAAUAUUUCAGAACUUGAAGACAAUGGUUAGUGCAGAAGGGACAUAAAAGUAAUGUGAAAGUAUCAGAUAUUAAUAAGAAGUGCUACAAGUGUGUUGUCAUGUGAAAAGGACUUUACCCCAACUGUGCUGCAUGAUGUAUAUUCAAGAGUGAGACAGCCAUGCACCAUCUGUAAACUGAGAUGGACCCACACAUGAAAUAUGUUGACUUUUCUAUGUAUUAUCAUAUGUACAGAAUGUGUUUAUGACAAGACUGUAUACAUAAUUGUUAAAUCAUUUUUUAUUUCCAUUAUGACAUGCAUGCAAGAAGAAAGCAUUAAUUAAACAAUUGCAUUCAUAGAAAUGUUAAAAUGUGAUCAAUCUAAUUUAAAGAAUAACCUUUAAUUGGGCUUCCUAAGUUUCAUAUUAUUUUUGGUGGAGAUUGACCCAGUCAUUCAGCAACUUAUACUGUCUGUGAGUCAUUUCUUGUAUGUUAUAGUUUUCUUAAUAAUGCAUAAAAUAUCAAAAUAAUGGUUAGAUGAACUCAUUCAUCACUUGUACAUUAAUGUUAAAGCAGUUCAACAUUUUACGAUAACUUAAUUAAUAUUCUAUUAACCAGAUUUGUCACAUAUUUUCAUAUAAACAUUUGUAUAAUACAGUCUAAUCUAAUCUAGAAAUGAUGUUCCACAAUUUUUUAAUUAUACUUUAUUUUGUUUCGAUGUCUCAACAUAUAAUUACUAACAUCAACAAAACUUAGAUAUUUUACAAUUUGGUUGGUAUAAAUGGUUGUUUUGUUGGUAUGUUUUAUUUAUUUCCAUCCAGGGGAAUAAAGAAAUAUACAUUUAAAAUAUCUCAUUAUUCCAGAAAAGUACACUACAUAAUCAAGAUAAAAGAAAUAAGAAAAAUUAUGUUGGUGGAAUUUUAUUUAAAAAAAUUGAUAUACAGUCUUUGUAGUAUUUACUUCUUUAGACUGAACUUUGGACUGAAAUGGGAAUAACAACAUAUUUUAAAUUUUUGUAGUCAUAAGUUAAUAUGGGAAUUAUUAACUUGAAAUAGAUUUUAUCUCGCUGUUAUGCCAUCUGAGCUUUAAUAUUUUUCAACAUUGUCAUUGGCAACAAGGCUAAACAUUAUUUCUUAUGUAUACCUUGCAUUCAUGUGUGAUAAAUAUGAUUUUAUGGUAUUCUUUAAUAUGAUAUAUGCUUUUCAUCUUACCAUGGAUUAAAAAAAUAUAUAUUUAUUUGUCUGAAAAUUAAGGUAAAAAUACUGACUGUAUAAAUUGCAAUAUAUGAAAACUUAUAUGAGCUAAAGGGAGGUAAUUCCAUAAAAAAUAUGUAGAAUGUAGAUGAUAAAUAUAAUGAAGGGAGGUAAUAAAAUAUUGUGA